rnacentral:rRNA from 1 species
UACCAGACUCCUACGGGAGGCAGCAGUGAGGAAUAUUGGUCAAUGGGCGGGAGCCUGAACCAGCCAAGCCGCGUGAGGGAAGAAGGUACAGCGUAUCGUAAACCUCUUUUGUCAGGGAACAAAGGCGGGGACUAGUCCCCGGAUGAGGGUACCUGAAGAAAAAGCAUCGGCUAACUACGUGCCAGCAGCCGCGGUAAUACGUAGGGGGCAAGCGUUAUCCGGAUUUACUGGGUGUAAAGGGAGCGUAGACGGCAAUACAAGUCGGAAGUGAAAUACCCGGGCUCAACCUGGGAAUUGCUUUGGAAACUGUAUGGCUGGAGUGCUGGAGAGGUAAGCGGAAUUCCUAGUGUAGCGGUGAAAUGCGUAGAUAUUAGGAGGAACACCAGUGGCGAAGGCGGCUUACUGGACAGUAACUGACGGUGAGGCUCGAAAGCGUGGGGAGCAAACAGGAUUAGAUACCCGGGUAAUA